CCUCGGAGCCUCUUGCUUUGGCCCCAGUAGCUCCUCUAGUGUCAAGGGAAGCUUGUUACGAUGGAGCAUGCUGGGAAAGACCUCAGAGAGGGCCUGAAACAAUGGGAGGUCAUUGUUCAGGACGAGGAGACCCAUGCUAAACAGACCAGCGGGGGAAGACCUGGCGGACAGAGACUCGGGAGUCUCGAUGAGGGGCUUCUCUCGGGGAGGAGAGGGCAGGAAGGAUGGUGAGGCUUGGCAGGUCGUUCCCCCCACUCUUUCUUUAUCCACCACCGAGUGGAGAAUACUCCAAGGAGCUCUCAGGGAGUGCGGCAAGGGCCCUGGGGCUCUGAAUUUUGCUGCUUCAGGAGAGCCACUCGGGAGAGCAACAGACUGCACAAGGGGUCAUUGAGAAGCAGAUGUUUACUGUGUUAAACCACUGGACUUUGGGGUUGUUUGUUAUAAUAGUGCGUCAUGGCUGAUACAAUGCUUAGUUCUGCUUCGGACUUCAGGGUGUUAGCCCAGCACUAUAGACAUGACUCAUUCGUUCAACAAGCACUGUGAGUGCCAGUCGUGUGCUAAGCAGGCAGUGAGGGGGCCUGAUGAGCCUAAGCAGACAGCGAUAGGGAGGACUUCUGAGUAACAGGAGAGGGUCAUUGGGAUAGGCAAGCACACACCGGGCCCAGGUUCCAGGUGAAAGACAUUGAUAUUGGUUUGUUCGGCUGCAGGUCUGUGCCUGCCUACUGUGGGUGGCAAGGGCUGGGCGGUGUGAUUAGUCCAGCCAUCAGACUUUAGGCUUUAUCUGGUAUCUUUGGAAGAUGUCACAUGCCACAGUCAGCAGGUCAUCCUGGCAUUUGGGGUCUAGAUCCCCCUUAGAGCCACUCAACAGAAAAGAGGACAGCUUUCCCUGGUUUUUAAAUGAUAAAUGCACUCCGUUCACCCCCUUGGCUUUACAUGGGAAGGGAGAAGUGUGUAUUAAGGAAAGAGAUACCAUGAUAUCCUCAGCACAUUCAGCUGGAAGUGGUGAGGACAGGCCAGGGGAGGGUUUUCAGUGGUUGACCAGGUGCCCCGUUCAGAAGCGGUGCUGGCUGUGGGCCAUGGAGGCGCUGGCACAGCCCGCCCCCGCCAACCGAGCUUCCCACCAGCUUCUCCCAGGGCCACCCCGGGGGUUGCACCACAUACAUCUUUAAUUUUUUCAAUUAACAACAAUA
rnacentral:lncRNA from 1 species